AAUUUCGCAAAACAGAAAACAAACCCCACUCCCCGAAAAUGUGAAACGCGGGAGAGCGGCGGAGCCUCGGGAUCCGGUGGGACCGGCAUGGGGGGGGGCAGCCGGUCCUGGCCGCUCCGCACGCUCGGGAAUUCCGCGGGAAGCGCGGAGGGACCCGACGGCCGUGGAAAUCGGGCUAAGAGGGGCUUAGCCGGAGCUUUUCCGCAGCAGCCGCGGCCGGAGUCACGUAGGCCGCUCCAAAGGCCGGGAUUUGGGGCCGCCUUAACCCAAAUUCGCCGCGGGGCAGAGCUGGGAGGCCUCGGGAUUUCGCAGGGAUCGCCCACGGGAGGCUGGAGGAUCCCAGGGUCUGGGGAUGGAUGGGGCCGUUCCCCUCGGGAAGGAGUUCCGGGGACACUUUGGGAUAUUGUCCCCUUGGAUCCCCAUCUCCAUCCUCACCGGGACUCUGGCCAGGGGAUUUUUCCCUCAGGGAGGAAUUUUGGGGACCAUUUUCCCCCGGGAUCCCCAUUCCCAUCCUCACCAGGACUCCGGGGAUGGAAUCUUUCCCUCCGAGAGGCGUCUGGGGGAGAUCUGGGAUAUGACAACGCUUCUCCAUCCUUUCCUCCACACCCCUUCCCACCGUCGCUCCCAGUCCUGGGACACUCCCGGAAUUCCUGGGGAUCACCUCUGUCACCGCCACCCCGGCAGGGAAGGAAAGUUUGGAAAGUUUCCCCUCUUUUCCCAUUCCCGCCCUUCCAGGAUGGGAUUUCACCCCCAGCACCCAAAGCCCCCUCCAGGGGACUCGGGGGGGACACGGGGGGGACUCGGGGGGGACACGGGGAAUGUUCUGCCACCUUUCCAGAGAGGGAAAAUCCACGGAUUUCUGACCCUUCCGUCCGUGAGAUUCCAGAGGGUGUUUGUCACCAGCGGGCGCUCCCCGUGGAAUUCCAGAAACAUCGGAGAGGAGGCUCGGGGGGCGCUUCCUGGUGAUUCCAGGGAGGAAUUCCUGCAUCUUGCCGCCGGGAAGGGCUCCCAGGCCGAAGCCAACGCGUCCCGCGGGGCUCAGCUCCCGGAGAGAGAAAUAAAGGAUUGCUGGAAGCUCCCGGAGAGANNNNNNNNNNAUUGCUGGAAGCUCCCGGAGAGAGAAAUAAAGGAUUGCUGGAAGCUCGGGAGCGGCUGGGAUCUGCCCGAGGGGCGUGGGGAGGCAGCGGGGCUGGGAAGGAGGGUCCCGAUCCUCUGGAAUUUGGGGUUCUUCCCUCGGGAUCUGGGAAGGAGGGUCCCGAUUCCCUGGGGCCUUGGCUUUGCCCCCAGGAAUUCCAUCGGGAUCUGGGAAACGAGGGUCCUGAUCCUCUGGAAUUUGGGAUUCUUCCCUCGGGAUCUGGGAAAGGAGGAUCCUGAUCCUGUGGGAUCCCGGCAUCACCUCCAGCUCUUUCCGUGAGGGUUGGGAAAGGAGAAUCCGAAUCUUCUGGAAUUUGGGAUUCUUCCCCUGG
rnacentral:lncRNA from 1 species